rnacentral:lncRNA from 10 species
GUGCGCCACUGCACCUGGCCGAACUCAGCUUUUCUUACUCCAAGUCAGUGAUCCUUCCCGGCCUGCCAUCCUUUCCUCUUUCAUUAUUUCACAUCUCUCCCUUUGGCUGGUUCCUGAGUUGAGUCCAUGAAAAAAAAACCUCUACCUAACAAGUAAGUUCUCACCACUAUUCCUAUUGUCCCCGGGAUUUUUGCAGGGCUGGCUUUAUGCUGUCUUCAACUGGCCUGCGAGUGUCUGAGAAUUAUUCAGCGUUAUGUCAGGGAAGCCGAUGGUCAGGAUGACAUUCUUCUUUACUGCCUGAUGUAUCAUGGGAAAAACUGAAUGCAUGGGAAAGUCCUCCCUUCCUGGCUCUCUCUGUCCCCAUGAAUAUUUCCAAAGAGACUCUUUCACCUUCAGUGACAAGAGGGAGAGGAGGGGAUUGGGAGGCAACUAUCUAGCAGUAUCCAGCAGACAUAACACAGACACUGCAUACUCACACCCACCUAGACGUGCACACACGACACACACAUACCCGGAACACACACCCACCCAACACACACACUGAGCACUCACAACACAUAUGCCUACAGCACACAUAGCCUCAAAGCACCUGAAAUAAUGGGGCAGGCUCCUAAAGAAUCUAGACUGUGGGGAAAUGCGGAGUGCUGGAGAGAGAAUGGGUUUCACCCGGGUUUGAAUCUGGCUGCAUCCUAACCUUGGUCUGGUUCCUGAACUUCUCUGAGCUUUGAUGUGAACACCUGAUCCCAAGGCUGUGAGGAGUAUGUGAAGAGGUGAAGCACAUAAAGUAUUUGCUCCUGGGCUCACUACUUACUGCCCACUCAGUGGUGGUCCAGGUUGCUCUUUUACAGGAACUGCUGCUUGUCUGAGUUUCUGAUUUCUCCCUACUCCUGGGACUCUGGCUAGUGGGAUCUGACAGACUAGUGGUGAAAGCCUCCUAACUAGUCUUUUGGCCUCCAUUUUCUCCUCCCCACCCCACCUGUCCUCCAAAGUGAUCUUGCAGAACUGCUAGUCUUUUUGUAUUCUUCCCUCCACAAGAACCUCCUUUAGACGUCCUUCACUUCCAGGAUCCAGUCCAAACUCCUGGGCUUGGCACAUGAACCCUCCAUCAUCUGGCACCUGGCAGCCCACAUGCUGGAGCCUCACGGAUUUGCUCAUCGCCCUCUGAACACCUGUGGCCUUCUCACUCCUCUGUGUCUUUGCACAUCCUUUCCCCAACCUCAUGCCAGGCCAUUGCAUUGUGAUCCAGGCUCAGUCUUCGUUCUGCUUCGUGGCAUCACAGUCCCUUAUUUGAAACUGAACCAGGACUGCAGUCUUCGACUUUGACAUCAAAUUUGACACCUCAGUGGCCCAGUACGUGUUGCUUUCCUUACUGAGCCUCAGCUUUCUCAUUUGUAAAGUGGGAAUAAUAGGCCAGGUGUAGUGGCACACACCUGUAAUCCUGGCACUUUGGGAGGUCGAGGCAGGCUAAUCACUUGAGCUCAGGAGCUUGAGACUGGCCUGGGUAACAUGGCAAACACCAUCUCUACAAAAAAAUACAAAAAUUAGCUGGGCAUGGUGGAGCAUGCCUGUACUCCCAGCUACUUGGGAGGCUGAGGUGGGAGAAUCACCUGA